AUUUAAGUACAGGGACGCUUUAGAAGUGAUGUUGCCGGGCGAUGGUUGACCCGGUCGUAAGGGAUCGAAAAUGAGUAGAGAAGUCAUCAUGGAAAGAGACAAGAAAAGCUGUAUGAAUAUCUUAGGUGCCCGUACCGCAAACCGACACAGGUAGAUAGGAAGAAGAUUCUAAGGCCAACGGGAGAAGGGUUGUUAAGGAACUCGGCAAGUUGACCCCGUAACUUAGGGAUAAGGGGUGCUCAAGUGAUUGAGCCGCAGAGAAUAGGCCCAGGCGACUGUUUAGCAAAAACACAGGUCUCUGCUAAAUCGAAAGAUGACGUAUAGGGGCUACACCUGCCCGGUGCCGGAAGGUUAAGAGGAGAUGUGAGAGCAUUGAAUUGAAGCCCCGGUAAACGGCGGCCGUAACGAUAACGGUCCUAAGGUAGCGAAAUUCCUUGUCAGGUUCUGACCCGCACGAAAGGUGUAACGAUCUGGGCACUGUCUCAACAACCCGCCCGGCGAAAUUGUAGUACCGGUGAAGGUGCCGGUUACCCGCGACUAGACGGAAAGACCCCAUGGAGCUUUACUGUAGCCUAAUAUUGGAUUUCGGUAUUUCACGUACAGGAUAGGUGGGAGACUGGGAAGCACAGGCGUCAGCUUGUGUGGAGUCGACCUUGGGAUACCACUCUUGGAGUGCUGGAAUUCUAACCUGCGGCUUUGAAGCAAGUCGGGGGACAUUGUUAGGUGGGCAGUUUGACUGGGGCGGUCGCCUCCUAAAGAGUAACGGAGGCGCUCAAAGGUUCGCUCUGCAUGGAUGGAAACCAUGCGUCAGAGUGUAAACGCAAAAGCGAGCCUAACUGCGAGAAUGACGGUUCGAGCAGUAACGAAAGUUGGAGUUAGUGAUCCGGCGGUAUGUGAAUGGAAAUGCCGUCGCUCAACGGAUAAAAGCUACCCUGGGGAUAACAGGCUGAUCUCCCCCAAGAGUCCACAUCGACGGGGAGGUUUGGCACCUCGAUGUCGGCUCAUCGCAUCCUGGGGCUGAAUUCGGUCCCAAGGGUUUGGCUGUUCGCCAAUUAAAGCGGUACGCGAGCUGGGUUCAGAACGUCGUGAGACAGUUCGGUCCCUAUCUGUCGUGGGCGUAGGAUAUCUGCAAGGAGCUGUCCCUAGUACGAGAGGACCGGGAUGGACGCACCUCUGGUGCACCAGUUGUCACGCCAGUGGCACAGCUGGGCAGCUACGUGCGGAACGGAUAAACGCUGAAGGCAUCUAAGCGUGAAGCCGCCCUUAAGAUAAGAUAUCCCUUCUGUUUAUAGAGUAAGACCCCUUGAAGACUACAAGGUUGAUAGGCUCAAAGUGUAAGCACGGUGACGUGUUUAGCUAGCGAGUACUAAUCGGUCGAGGGCUUAACCAA
rnacentral:rRNA from 1 species